UGGGGAAUAUUGGACAAUGGGCGCAAGCCUGAUCCAGCCAUGCCGCGUGAGUGAUGAAGGCCUUAGGGUUGUAAAGCUCUUUCGGCGGGGACGAUAAUGACGGUACCCGCAGAAGAAGCCCCGGCUAACUUCGUGCCAGCAGCCGCGGUAAUACGAAGGGGGCUAGCGUUGCUCGGAAUCACUGGGCGUAAAGGGCGCGUAGGCGGACAUUUAAGUCGGGGGUGAAAGCCCAGGGCUCAACCCUGGAAUUGCCUCCGAUACUGGGUGUCUCGAGACCGGAAGAGGUGAGUGGAACUGCGAGUGUAGAGGUGAAAUUCGUAGAUAUUCGCAAGAACACCAGUGGCGAAGGCGGCUCACUGGUCCGGUUCUGACGCUGAGGCGCGAAAAGCGUGGGGAGCAAACAGGAUUAGAUACCCUGGUAGUCCACGCCGUAAACGAUGGAUGCUAGCCGUUGGCAGGCUUGCCUGUCAGUGGCGCAGCUAACGCUUUAAGCAUCCCGCCUGGGGAGUACGGCCGCAAGGUUAAAACUCAAAUGAAUUGACGGGGUCAUAGCUGUUUCCU
rnacentral:rRNA from 1 species